rnacentral:lncRNA from 1 species
CUUUUACAUAUUUUGGGUUUCUGGGGAAAAUUUUUUCCUUGAAAUUCACAUGUUCCAAAUAUCUGUCUUACUUUGAGCCUGAAUUCUAAAUGGAGAACUCACAACCUGGGAGUAAGAACAAAAGACAGAAAUAAACUCUCUAUUGACACUUCAAAUUAGACGUGGCUGCAAGGCCACUCAAGAUGACAACUACCCCCACCACAGACCCUGGUGACAGAUUACAAGCAAACACGCCUGCUACCUGUCAUCCCAGUGGGACAGCAUCCAGUGAAGUCCUGGGGCGCCUCCCGUGAUUAAGGCAAGCAUUAGUGUUGUGGCUGACUCUGGCUGUCAAAGAACUGACCCCUGCAGGGAUUCCUGGCAGUGGAGCAUUAGUUGGGGCAGGGCUGGGAAAUCCAGAUGGUGAAUGACUUGGCAAAGGUCAUGCAAGUCACCAUUCGAGAGACCUUUGGAACAUCCUUUUGGGGGUAGGAGAUUGAAAUUAUUACCAGGAAACUGUACUAUUAACAAUGGAAAGCAAGUUCCUAUUCAGAGUUUUUUGGGAGAAAAAAAUGGACGUUGCCAUAAAUUUUAAUGAUGAUGAAACUAAAAUAGACGUGGGACCUGUCCUGUGCAGAAGCCAGUGGGGAGCAAAGCAAAGACCUUCAAAUGUGGGUCAGUCUAUAAACCCCCAAAGUAAUUACCAUUGGCAGUAGUGUAUACCACCAUUUUUGUGUCUUCACUGAACCUUUAUUGAGGACUUCCUCUUAAUUAAGUAAUGUGAUUUUUAUAUGUACUUCUAAUCCAUUUAAUGUUAUUGGCCACAAUACUGAC